GGCAGUUGGCGGCGGGCUUACCAUGCAGUUGACGAGAACCCUCGUAGCAAUAUGAGGAAGUAAAGUAGCGUACGGGUGAGUAACACGUAGGUAAUCUACCUUCGAGACUGGGAUAACAUGGCGAAAGCUAUGCUAAUACUGGAUAAAGUCCUGAUGAUUGAGGUUAUUGGGAUGAAAGGCAGCCUCUGGAAUAAGCUGCUGUUUGGAGAUGAGCCUGCGUACCAUUAGCUAGUUGGUAAGGUAAGGGCUUACCAAGGCGACGAUGGUUAGCUGGUCUGAGAGGAUGAUCAGCCACACCGGAACUGACACACGGUCCGGACUCCUACGGGAGGCAGCAGUGAGGAAUUUUGCGCAAUGGGGGAAACCCUGACGCAGCAACGCCGCGUGAGUGAAGAAGGCCUUCGGGUCGUAAAGCUCUGUCGAGGGGGAAGAAAGAGGUUAAGGGAAAUAGGAUUAAUUUUUGACGGUACCCCGAGAGGAAGCACCGGCUAACUCCGUGCCAGCAGCCGCGGUAAUACGGAGGGUGCGAGCGUUAUUCGGAUUUAUUGGGCGUAAAGGGCGCGUAGGCGGCUGAUUAAGUCAGAUGUGAAAACCCAAAGCUUAACUUUGGAAGUGCAUUUGAAACUGAUCAGCUUGAGUAUGGGAGAGGGAAGCGGAAUUCCUGGUGUAGAGGUGAAAUUCGUAGAGAUCAGGAGGAACACCGGUGGCGAAGGCGGCUUCCUGGAUCAAUACUGACGCUGAGGCGCGAAGGCGUGGGGAGCAAACAGGAUUAGAUACCCUGGUAGUCCACGCAGUAAACGGUGAUCACUAGGUGUAGCGGGUAUUUACCCCUGCUGUGCCGAAGCUAACGCAUUAAGUGAUCCGCCUGGGAAGUACGGCCGCAAGGUUAAAACUCAAAGGAAUUGACGG
rnacentral:rRNA from 1 species